rnacentral:lncRNA from 1 species
GAACUCCAAGGAAAAUUCAAAACGAAAAGUUCAACUGUUAUAUUCCUGACUUGGUACAGGUCUUUCCUGAUGUAGAAAAUGGUGGAUUACACUUAGUGUUAAAGCUUGCUAAACCUCUCAUUUUUAUGACAGCCGCAUACUAUUCCAAUAUGUUGACAACAAUGUGUUAAUGUGCAAAUGUGACAACUCUUCCCGCCAAAUCAUGACCUUACGGCC